GCUUUCGUGGUGUAGUGAUCAGCAGACUUGGCGCGUAUUCGAGAGGUCCGGGGUUCGAAUCCCGGCGAGAGCA
rnacentral:tRNA from 1 species